AUUGAACGCUGGCGGCAGGCUUAACACAUGCAAGUCGAACGAGUGGCGGACGGGUGAGUAAUGAUUGGGAAUCUAGCUUAUGGAGGGGGAUAUCUACGGGAAACUGUAGCUAAUACCGCGUACCAUGGGAUGCGCCAAAGUGGGAUUAGGUAGUUGGUGAGGUACAGGUCAACCAACAAGACGAUCUCUAGCUGGUCUGAGAGGAUGACCAGCCACGGUGCUAAUGAGACACGGCCCAGACUCCUACGGGAGGCAGCAGUGGGGAAUAUUGCGCAAUGGUGGCUACCUGACGCAGCCAUGCCGCGUGAAUGAAGAAGGCCUUCGGGUUGUAAAGUUCUUGCGGUAGCGAGGCGUUAACUACAGAAGAAGCACCGGCUGACUCCGAGCCAGCAGCCGCGGUAAUUC
rnacentral:rRNA from 1 species